rnacentral:tRNA from 1 species
GACGUUAGCUCAGUUGGUAGAGCAUGUGACUUUUAAUCACAGGGUCGCGGGUUCGAUCCCCGCACAUC